rnacentral:rRNA from 1 species
UACAGAGGUCCCAAGCGUUGUUCGGAUUCACUGGGCGUAAGGGUGCGUAGGUGGUCAGGUAAGUCUGAUGUGAAAUCUCUGGGCUCAACCCAGAAACUGCAUUGGAUACUAUCUGGCUAGAGGAGUGGAGGGGGGACUGGAAUACUUGGUGUAGCAGUGAAAUGCGUAGAUAUCAAGUGGAACACCAGUGGCGAAGGCGAGUCCCUGGACACUUCCUGACACUGAGGCACGAAGCUAGGGGAGCAACAGG